GAGUAGCAAUAUUCAAAUCAGUGGCGCACGGGUGCGUAACGCGUAUGCAACCUUCCUUAACCUGGGGGAUAGCCUUCCGAAAGGGAGAUUAAUACCGCAUAAGAUCACACGAUGGCAUCAGAGAGUGAUUAAAGAUUUAUUGGUUUAAGAUGGGCAUGCGUGCCAUUAGCUAGUUGGUAGGGUAAUGGCCUACCAAGGCUACGAUGGCUAGGGGUUCUGAGAGGAUGAUCCCCCUCACUGGUACUGAGAUACGGCCCAGACUCCUACGGGAGGCAGCAGUAGGGAAUAUUGGCCAAUGGACGGAAGUCUGACCCAGCCAUGCCGCGUGCAGGAAGAAGGCCUUCUGGG
rnacentral:rRNA from 1 species